ACGGCCGUCGGUUAAUGGUAAACCUUUGGUCUCCAAAACCAAGACUGCAGGUUCGAUUCCUGCCGGCCGUG
rnacentral:tRNA from 1 species